rnacentral:rRNA from 1 species
GAAGGAAAUUAAGUACGGAAGUUCCUGAUUUCACGCUGUCAAGAAAAGCCUCUAGGAAGAGUAGUACUGCCCGUACCGCAAACCGACACAGGUAGAUGAGGAGAGAAUCCUAAGGUGAGCGAGAGAACUCUCGUUAAGGAACUCGGCAAAAUGACCCCGUAACUUCGGGAGAAGGGGUGCUCUAUUAGGGUGCAAGCCCGAGAGAGCCGCAGUGAAUAGGCCCAGGCGACUGUUUAGCAAAAACACAGGUCUCUGCAAAACCGUAAGGUGACGUAUAGGGGCUGACGCCUGCCCGGUGCUGGAAGGUUAAGAGGAGUGCUUAGCUUCGGCGAAGGUACGAAUUGAAGCCCCAGUAAACGGCGGCCGUAACUAUAACGGUCCUAAGGUAGCGAAAUUCCUUGUCGGGUAAGUUCCGACCCGCACGAAAGGCGCAACGAUCUGGGCACUGUCUCAACGAGAGACUCGGUGAAAUUAUAGUACCUGUGAAGAUGCAGGUUACCCGCGACAGGACGGAAAGACCCCGUGGAGCUUUACUGCAACCUGAUAUGGAAUGUUUGUACCGCUUGUACAGGAUAGGUAGGAGCCGAAGAGACGUGUGCGCUAGCAUACGAGGAGGCAAUGGUGGGAUACUACCCUGGCUGUAUGACCAUUCUAACCCGCCACGCUUAGCGCGUGGGGAGACAGUGUCAGGUGGGCAGUUUGACUGGGGCGGUCGCCUCCUAAAGAGUAACGGAGGCGCCCAAAGGUUCCCUCAGAAUGGAUGGAAAUCAUUCGCAGAGUGUAAAGGCACAAGGGAGCUUGACUGCGAGACUGACAAGUCGAGCAGGGACGAAAGUCGGGCUU